rnacentral:rRNA from 1 species
AGGCAAAGCAUCGAGACCUUUUAGGUCGAAGUGAUUGGAUGUGCUCCCAGGAAAAGCCUCUAAGCUCCAGCUCAACGGGACCGUACCGCAAACCGACACUGGUGGGCGAGCUGAAUAUGCUCAGGCGCUUGAGAGAACUCAGGAGAAGGAACUCGGCAAAUUGACACCGUAACUUCGGGAUAAGGUGUGCCUUUGUAGUGUGAAGGAAGAAACAUCCGGAGCAUGAAGAGGUCUCAGAGAAUUGGUGGCUGCGACUGUUUACUAAAAACACAGCACUCUGCAAAGACGAAAGUCGACGUAUAGGGUGUGAUGCCUGCCCGGUGCUGGAAGAUUAAUUGAUGGGGUGCAAGCUCCUGAUCGAAGUCCCAGUAAACGGCGGCCGUAACUAUAACGGUCCUAAGGUAGCGAAAUUCCUUGUCGGGUAAGUUCCGACCUGCACGAAUGGCAUAACGAUGGCCACACUGUCUCCUCCUGAGACUCAGUGAAGUUGAAGUGUUUGUGAUGAUGCAAUCUCCCCGCGGCUAGACGGAAAGACCCCAUGAACCUUUACUGUAGCUUUGCAUUGGACUUUGAACCGAUCUGUGUAGGAUAGGCGGGAGGCUGAGAAGCGGUGACGCUAGUCAUCGUGGAGCCGUCCUUGAAAUACCGCCCUGAUUUGUUUGAGGUUCUAACCUAGGUCAGUGAUCCUGAUCGGGGACCGUGCAUGGUAGGCAGUUUGACUGGGGCGGUCUCCUCCUAAAGGGUAACGGAGGAGUGCGAAGGUACGCUAGGUACGGUCGGAAAUCGUGCUGAUAGUGCAAAGGCAAAAGCGUGCUUGACUGCGAGACCCACAAGUCGAGCAGAUACGAAAGUAGGUCUUAGUGAUCCGGUGGCUCUGUAUGGAAGGGCCAUCGCUCAACGGAUAAAAGGUACUCUGGGGAUAACAGGCUGAUACCGCCCAAGAGUUCAUAUCGACGGCGGUGUUUGGCACCUCGAUGUCGGCUCAUCUCAUCCUGGGGCUGUAGCCGGUCCCAAGGGUAUGGCUGUUCGCCAUUUAAAGAGGUACGUGAGCUGGGUUUAAAACGUCGUGAGACAGUUUUGUCCCUAUCUGCCGUGGGCGCUGGAAGAUUGACGGGGGCUGCUCCUAGUACGAGAGGACCGGAGUGGACUCACCUCUGGUGUACCGGUUGUCACGCCAGUGGCAUCGCCGGGUAGCUAUGUGGGGAAAGGAUAACCGCUGAAAGCAUCUAAGUGGGAAACCUGCCUGAAGAUAAGUCUUCCUGGAGGCUUGACCUCCCUAAAGAGUCGUUCGAGACCAGGACGUUGAUAGGUUGGGUGUGUAAGCGCUGUAAGGCGUUAAGCUAACCAAUACUAAUUGCUCGUGCAGCUUGAUCC